rnacentral:rRNA from 1 species
GGAGUCUGCAACCCGACUCCACGAAGCUGGAUUCGCUAGUAAUCGCGCAUCAGCCACGGCGCGGUGAAUACGUUCCCGGGCCUUGUACACACCGCCCGUCAAGCCAUGGGAGCCGGGGGUACCUGAAGUGCGUAACCGCGAGGAUCGCCCUAGGGUAAAACUGGUGACUGGGGCUAAGUCGUAACAAGGUAUC